UGAGGGAAAGGCGAAAAGAACCCCGGCGAGGGGAGUGAAAAAGAACCUGAAACCGUGUACGUACAAGCAGUGGGAGCCCCACCACCAAAGCAUUCUCUGGUGUUGAAGGCCCUGCAAAGCAGCAUCGCGGUGGCGGAGCGUCGUUUGCGACGCCCAACACACAAAACAAGCGGUGAAUGCUUUGGGGUGGGGUGACUGCGUACCUUUUGUAUAAUGGGUCAGCGACUUAUAUUCUGUAGCAAGGUUAACCGUAUAGGGGAGCCGGAGGGAAACCGAGUCUUAAUUGGGCGUUAAGUUGCAGGGUAUAGACCCGAAACCCGGUGAUCUAGCCAUGGGCAGGUUGAAGGUUGGGUAACACUAACUGGAGGACCGAACCGACUAAUGUUGAAAAAUUAGCGGAUGACCUGUGGCUGGGGGUGAAAGGCCAAUCAAACCGGGAGAUAGCUGGUUCUCCCCGAAAGCUAUUUAGGUAGCGCCUCGUGAAUUCAUCUCCGGGGGUAGAGCACUGUUUCGGCUAGGGGGCCAUCCCGGCUUACCAACCCGAUGCAAACUGCGAAUACCGGAGAAUGUUAUCACGGGAGACACACGGCGGGUGCUAACGUCCGUCGUGAAGAGGGAAACAACCCAGACCGCCAGCUAAGGUCCCAAAGUCAUGGUUAAGUGGGAAACGAUGUGGGAAGGCCCAGACAGCCAGGAUGUUGGCUUAGAAGCAGCCAUCAUUUAAAGAAAGCGUAAUAGCUCACUGGUCGAGUCGGCCUGCGCGGAAGAUGUAACGGGGCUAAACCAUGCACCGAAGCUGCGGCAGCGACGCUGAUGCGUUGUUGGGUAGGGGAGCGUUCUGUAAGCCUGCGAAGGUGACCUGUGAGGGUUGCUGGAGGUAUCAGAAGUGCGAAUGCUGACAUAAGUAACGAUAAAGCGGGUGAAAAGCCCGCUCGCCGGAAGACCA
rnacentral:rRNA from 1 species